GGUGCGGGGCUCUCUUAGGCGCGGGGCUCGAUUCGGAGGAAUUGGUGGAAUAGGCCUAAAACUGGCCCUGCAACACUCCCUCUCCUAGC